GGUUUCCGUAGGUGAACCUGCGGAAGGAUCAUUAUUGAAAUAAACCUGAUAAGUUGCUGCUGGUUCUCUAGGGAACAUGUGCACACUUGUCAUCUUUGUAUCUUCACCUGUGCACCUUUUGUAGACCUGAGUAUCUCUCUGAAUGCUUUAUAGCACUCAGGAUUGAGAAUUGACUUCUUGUCUCUUCUUAUAAUUUUAGGUCUAUGUUUCUUCAAUAUACCCUAAUGUAUGUUUAUAGAAUGUAAUGAAUGGGCCUUUGUGCCUAUAAACCUUUACAACUUUCAGCAACGGAUCUCUUGGCUCUCGCAUCGAUGAAGAACGCAGCGAAAUGCGAUAAGUAAUGUGAAUUGCAGAAUUCAGUGAAUCAUCGAAUCUUUGAACGCACCUUGCGCUCCUUGGUAUUCCGAGGAGCAUGCCUGUUUGAGUGUCAUUAAUAAUAUCAACCUCUUUGGUUGGAUGUGGGGUUUGCUGGCUUCUUGAGGUCAGCUCCCCUUAAAUGCAUUAGCGGACAACAUUUUGCCAACUGUUCAUUGGUGUGAUAAUUAUCUACGCUAUUGACGUGAAGCAAGGUUCAGCUACUAACAGUCCAUUGACUUGGACAAGCCUAUCUUUAUUAAUGUGACCUCAAAUCAGGUAGGACUACCCGCUGAACUUAAGCAUAUCAAUAAGCGGAGGAAAAGAAACUAACAAGGAUUCCCCUAGUAACUGCGAGUGAAGCGGGAAAAGCUCAAAUUUAAAAUCUGGCAGUCUUUGGCUGUCCGAGUUGUAAUCUAGAGAAGCAUUAUCCGCGCUGGACCGUGUACAAGUCUCCUGGAAUGGAGCGUCAUAGAGGGUGAGAAUCCCGUCUUUGACACGGACUGCCAGGGCUUUGUGAUGUGCUCUCAAAGAGUCGAGUUGUUUGGGAAUGCAGCUCAAAAUGGGUGGUAAAUUCCAUCUAAAGCUAAAUAUUGGCGAGAGACCGAUAGCGAACAAGUACCGUGAGGG
rnacentral:rRNA from 1 species